AGAAUCAACGCUGGCGGCGUGCCUAACACAUGCAAGUCGCACGAGAAAGGGUAGCAAUACCUGAGUACAGUGGCGCACGGGUGAGUAACACGUGAAUAAUCUACCUCCGAGUGGGGAAUAAACUGAGAGAAAUCUUAGCUAACACCGCAUAACACUUACGAGUCAAAGCAGCAAUGCGCUUGGAGAGGAGUUCGCGGCAGAUUAGUUAGUUGGCGGGUAAUGGCCCACAAGACGAUGAUCUGUA
rnacentral:rRNA from 1 species